GACGAACGCUGGCGGCGUGCUUAACACAUGCAAGUCGAACGGUAAGGCUCCAGCUUGCUGGGGUACACGAGUGGCGAACGGGUGAGUAACACGUGGGUGACCUGCCCUGCACUUCGGGAUAAGCCUGGGAAACUGGGUCUAAUACCGGAUAGGACCGCACCGUGAGGGUGUGGUGGAAAGUUUUUUCGGUGUGGGAUGGGCCCGCGGCCUAUCAGCUUGUUGGUGGGGUAAUGGCCUACCAAGGCGGCGACGGGUAGCCGGCCUGAGAGGGUGGACGGCCACAUUGGGACUGAGACACGGCCCAGACUCCUACGGGAGGCAGCAGUGGGGAAUAUUGCACAAUGGGCGGAAGCCUGAUGCAGCGACGCCGCGUGGGGGAUGACGGCCUUCGGGUUGUAAACUCCUUUCACCAUCGACGAAGGGUUUCUGACGGUAGAUGGAGAAGUAGCACCGGCUAACUACGUGCCAGCAGCCGCGGUAAUACGUAGGGUGCGAGCGUUGUCCGGAAUUACUGGGCGUAAAGAGCUCGUAGGUGGUUUGUCGCGUCGUCUGUGAAAUUCCGGGGCUUAACUCCGGGCGUGCAGGCGAUACGGGCAUAACUUGAGUACUGUAGGGGAGACUGGAAUUCCUGGUGUAGCGGUGAAAUGCGCAGAUAUCAGGAGGAACACCGGUGGCGAAGGCGGGUCUCUGGGCAGUAACUGACGCUGAGGAGCGAAAGCAUGGGGAGCGAACAGGAUUAGAUACCCUGGUAGUCCAUGCCGUAAACGGUGGGCGCUAGGUGUGGGUUUCCUUCCACGGGAUCCGUGCCGUAGCUAACGCAUUAAGCGCCCCGCCUGGGGAGUACGGCCGCAAGGCUAAAACUCAAAGGAAUUGACGGGGGCCCGCACAAGCGGCGGAGCAUGUGGAUUAAUUCGAUGCAACGCGAAGAACCUUACCUGGGCUUGACAUAUACAGGAUCGCGCCAGAGAUGGUGUUUCCCUUGUGGCUUGUAUACAGGUGGUGCAUGGUUGUCGUCAGCUCGUGUCGUGAGAUGUUGGGUUAAGUCCCGCAACGAGCGCAACCCUUGUCUUAUGUUGCCAGCACGUUGUGGUGGGGACUCGUAAGAAACUGCCGGGGUUAACUCGGAGGAAGGUGGGGAUGACGUCAAAUCAUCAUGCCCCUUAUGUCCAGGGCUUCACACAUGCUACAAUGGUCGGUACAGUGGGUUGCCAGUCCGUGAGGGCGAGCUAAUCCCGCAAAGCCGGUCUCAGUUCGGAUCGGGGUCUGCAACUCGACCCCGUGAAGUCGGAGUCGCUAGUAAUCGCAGAUCAGCAACGCUGCGGUGAAUACGUUCCCGGGCCU
rnacentral:rRNA from 1 species